rnacentral:rRNA from 1 species
CAGCCUGCAACUCGGCUGCACGAAGCCGGAAUCGCUAGUAAUCGCAGAUCAGAAUGCCGCGGUGAAUACGUUCCCGGGUCUUGUACACACCGCCCGUCACACCAUGGGAGUCGGAAAUGCCCGAAGUCUGUGACCCAACCUGCAAGGGAGGGAGCAGCCGAAGGCAGGUCGGAUGACUGGGGUGAAGUCGUAACAAGGUACC